CGCGGGGUAGAGCAGUCCGGUAGCUCGUCGGGCUCAUAACCCGAAGGUCGUUGGUUCAAAUCCAGCCUCCGCAACCA
rnacentral:tRNA from 1 species